rnacentral:rRNA from 1 species
AGAGUUUGAUCCUGGCUCAGGAUGAACGCUGGCGGCGUGCCUAAGACAUGCAAGUCGAGUGGGUUUAGACCCACGGCGAACGGGUGAGUAAUACCUAGGAACUUUCUUUAAGUGGAGCAUAACCAGUCGAAAGAUUGGAUAAUACUCCAUGCCAUCGCAAGAUGAAAGUCGCAAGACGCUUAAAGUGAGGCCUGGGCACCAUCAGCUAGUUGGUAAGGUAAUGGCUUACCAAGGCUAUGACGGUUAGGGGCCCCGAGAGGGGAAACCCCCACACUGGAACCGCGACACGGUCCAGACUCCUACGGGAGGCAGCAGUUUGGAAUUUUGGACAAUGGGCGAAAGCCUGAUCCAGCGACGCCGCGUGGACGAUGAAGGCCUUCGGGUCGUAAAGUCCUUUUGCCUGGGAACAAUAUUUGAGUGUACCAGGAGAAUAAGAGGUUGCUAACUCUGUGCCAGCAGCAGCGGUAAUACAGAGACCUCAAGCGUUAUCCGGAAUCAUUGGGCGUAAAGCGUUCCGAUAGGUUUUUUACAAGUCAGAAGUGAAAUCUCUCAGCUUAACUGGGUGAAUGUCUUUUGAAACUGUAAAACUAGAGGGGCAAAGAGGAAGCUGGAACCAGCGGUGUAGUAGUGAAAUGCGUUGAUAUCGCUGGGAACACCAAUAGCGUAGGCAGGCUUCUGGGUGCCACCUGACACUGCUAGGACGAGAGCGUGGGGAGCGAAUGGGAUUAGAUACCCCAGUAGUCCACGCUGUAAACGAUGCACAUUAGGUGCUAGGGAGUAUCGACCCUCUUUAGUACCAUAGCUAACGCGUUAAAUGUGCCGCCUGGGGAGUACGGCCGCAAGGCUAAAACUCAAAGGAAUUGACGGGGACCCGCACAAGCGGUGGAGCAUGUGGUUUAAUUCGACGGUAAGCGAGGAACCUUACCAAGUCUUGACAUAUACCUGCAUACUCAAGAAAUUGGGUAGCCUUCGAGGGUGGUAUACAGGUGCUGCACGGUUGUCGUCAGCUCGUGCCGUGAGGUGUUCACUUAAGUGUGAAAACGAGCGCAACCCCUAUUGCAAGUUACAAGUGUCUUCGAAACUGCCGGCGUUUAAGCUGGAGGAAGGUGGGGAUGACGUCAAAUCAGCGUGGCUCUUACGACUUGGGCUACACACGUGCUACAAUGGGUAGAAUAAAGGGACGCCAAGGCGUAAGCCGGAGCAAAUCCUAUCAAUCCUACCCCCAGUUCGGAUUGAGGGCUGCAACUCGCCCUCAUGAAGCCGGAAUCGCUAGUAACCGUAGAUCAGCCUCGCUACGGUGAAUACGUUCUCGGGUUUUGUACACACCGCCCGUCAAGCGAUGGAAGUGGGAAGCGGCUAAAGUGCACCGUAAGGUGUCCUAGGCCGAAGCUCAUGACUGGCGCUAAGUCGUAACAAGGCA